rnacentral:rRNA from 1 species
UACGAAGGGGGCUAGCGUUGCUCGGAAUCACUGGGCGUAAAGGGUGCGUAGGCGGGUCUUUUAAGUCAGGGGUGAAAUCCUGGAGCUCAACUCCAGAACUGCCUUUGAUACUGGUGAUCUUUGAGUCCGGGGAGAGGUGAGUGAACUGCGAGUGUAGAGGUGAAAUUCGUAGAUAUUCGCAAGAACACCAGUGGCGAAGGCGCUCACUGGCCCGAUACUGACGCUGAGGCACGAAAGCGUGGGGGAGCAAACAGG